rnacentral:misc_RNA from 1 species
UGUUGCUUACCCGCGGAAAGGAAUUCUAUGGUUUUGGUGUCCCCAUCCGCCUUGUGCCCUUCGGGGUGCGGGGUGGACGCGAGGCGGGCUCCGUGUUCCCCGCGCGUUGAGUGUGCUGACGCUUGACCGCUGUGGCCCAUGGGGUCUCGACCCGUGCUCUYGGAUGCGGAAUGUUGUGUGUGGGCGUGGGGUCUCGGCCUCUUCUCGUCCAAGCUGCACGCAUUGUCCCCUAACAUGAACGACCGUCGCGCCCGUCUUGAUCGACCGACCGAGCCCCCUUUGUGGGUUUUCGGGAGGGCGGCUCAUGCGGA